rnacentral:rRNA from 1 species
GCGGCAAACGGGUGAGUAAUAUCUGGGAAUCUACCCAAAAGAGGGGGAUAACUACUAGAAAUGGUAGCUAAUACCGCAUAAUGUUAAAAAACCAAAGUGGGGGACCUUUUUAAGGCCUCAUGCUUUUGGAUGAGCCCAGACGAGAUUAGCUUGUUGGUAAGGUAAAAGCUUACCAAGGCUACGAUCUCUAGCUGGUCUGAGAGGAUAACCAGCCACACUGGAACUGAGACACGGUCCAGACUCCUACGGGAGGCAGCAGUGGGGAAUAUUGCACAAUGGGCGAAAGCCUGAUGCAGCUAUGCCGCGUGUAUGAAGAAGGCCUUAGGGUUGUAAAGUACUUUCAGCGGGGAGGAAAAAAAUAAAACUAAUAAUUUUAU